rnacentral:tRNA from 1 species
GCCGGAAUAGCUCAGUUGGAGAGCGUUAGACUGAAGUUGUUAACGCUGCAAUCAUCUAAAGGCCCCCGGUUCAAUCCCGGGUUCCGGCA